UACAUAGGGGGCAAGCGUUAUCCGGAUUUACUGGGUGUAAAGGGAGCGCAGACGGAUAUGCAAGUCUGAAGUGAAACCCCACGGCUCAACUGUGGGCUUGCUUUGGAAGCUGUAAAUCUAGAGUGCUGGAGAGGCAAGCCGAACUCCUAGUGUAGCGGUGAAAUGCGUAGAUAUUAGGAGGAACACCGGUGGCGGAGGCGGCUUGCUGGACAGUAACUGACGUUGAGGCUCGAAGGCGUGGGGAGCAAAC
rnacentral:rRNA from 1 species